AGAGUUUGAUCAUGGCUCAGAAUGAACGCUGGCGGCGUGCUUUACACAUGCAAGUCGAGCGAGGCGGGUAGCAAUACCCAGUCGAGCGGCGAACGGGUGAGUAACGCGUGGAUGACCUGCCUUGAGGUGGGGGAUAACUCGGGGAAACUCGAGCUAAUACCGCAUACGACCGAGAGGUCAAAGGGGCGCAAGUCCCGCCACAAGAGGGGUCCGCGUCCGAUUAGCUAGUUGGUGGGGUAAUGGCCUACCAAGGCGACGAUCGGUAGCCGGCCUGAGAGGGUGAUCGGCCACACUGGAACUGAGACACGGUCCAGACUCCUACGGGAGGCAGCAGUGGGGAAUUUUGCGCAAUGGGCUAACGCCUGACGCAGCAACGCCGCGUGGAGGAUGAAGGUCUUUGGAUUGUAAACUCCUGUCAGCAGGGAAAAAGGUACGUGGUAACCCCACGUGCUUGAUUGUACCUGCAGAGGAAGCCCCGGCUAACUCUGUGCCAGCAGCCGCGGUAAUACAGAGGGGGCAAGCGUUAUUCGGAAUUAUUGGGCGUAAAGGGCGCGUAGGCGGCUUUGCAAGUGGCGGGUGAAAUCCCUCGGCUUAACCGAGGAACUGCCUGCCAGACUGUGAGGCUUGAGACCGGGAGAGGUGAGUGGAAUUCCCAGUGUAGCGGUGAAAUGCGUAGAUAUUGGGAGGAACACCAGUGGCG
rnacentral:rRNA from 1 species